UGGGGAUGACGUCAAGUCAUCAUGGCCCUUACGGCCUGGGCUACACACGUGCGUACAAUGGUCGGUACAAAGGGUUGCCAAGCCGCGAGGUGGAGCUAAUCCCAUAAAACCGAUCGUAGUCCGGAUCGCAGUCUGCAACUCGACUGCGUGAAGUCGGAAUCGCUAGUAAUCGUGAAUCAGAAUGUCACGGUGAAUACGUUCCCGGGCCUU
rnacentral:rRNA from 1 species